CGAAGAUGAGUUUAAUAUUUAUUAAUUAGAAAAUAUUUAUUUAAGUGAUUUUUUCGAAUUAAAAACUAAUGUAAAUUAACAAAUUAAAUUGAAUCUUUUCAUUAAAUAAGAUUAAUUGGAUUGGAUGAAAUUUAGUUUAACAACUUUUAACACUCGAUGUAUAUUUCCAUCUAUUUUAUUUAAUUGUUAGGUGGCACCUGCAGAGUUAGAAGGAUUACUUCUUUCUCAUCCACACAUUACUGAUGCCGUUGUUAUUCCAUUUCCUGAUGUUAAAGCUGGAGAGGUUCCGAUUGCAUACGUUGUUCGAGAUCCCAAAAGUUCACUAACUGAAGAAGAUUUUAAACAAUUCGUGGUAAAUAAGGUAUGAGAUUGAUCUUUUUAAAAUUGCUAGGCUUGUAAUAAGAUUGUUUGUUGUAAUCUAUGCCCUCUCUAUUGAUUUGCUCCUAGGUUGCACAUUAUAAAAAAUUACGGAGUAUUACUUUCUUGGAAAGUGUCCCAAAAUCAGCUUCUGGAAAAAUUUUGAGAAGAGAACUAAUAGAAAAAGUUCGAUCCAAGAUAUAAAGUCAAGAAUUCAUUACCAAUAUUCAACAAAAUAUUGGUUUUUGACUUAAAUAUUUACAACAAUUGUAUGACGUAUAUGUAAUAUUAAGUUUGAUUCUUGUUGAAAGCUAUACACAAA